UACGAAGGGUGCAAGCGUUAAUCGGAAUUACUGGGCGUAAAGCGUGCGUAGGCGGUUUUUUAAGUCUGCUGUGAAAUCCCCGGGCUCAACCUGGGAAUGGCAGUGGAUACUGGAAAGCUAGAGUGUGUCAGAGGAUGGUGGAAUUCCCGGUGGAGCGGUGAAAUGCGUAGAGAUUGGAAAGAACACCGAUGGCGAAGGCACUUUACUGGGCUAUUACUAACACUGAGAGACGAAAGCUAGGGUAGCAAAUGGG
rnacentral:rRNA from 1 species